GAUGAAGAACGUAGCGAAAUGCGAUAAGUAAUGUGAAUUGCAGAAUUCCGUGAAUCAUCGAAUCUUUGAACGCACAUUGCGCCCCCUGGCAUUCCGGGGGGCAUGCCUGUCCGAGCGUCAUUUCUGCCCUCAAGCACGGCUUGUGUGUUGGGUGUGGUCCCCCCGGGGACCUGCCCGAAAGGCAGCGGCGACGUCCGUCUGGUCCUCGUGCGUAUGGGGCUCUGUCACUCGCUCGGGAAGGACCUGCGGGGGUUGGUCACCACUAUAUUUUACCACGGUUGACCUCGGAUCAGGUAGGAGUUACCCGCUGAACUUAAGCAUAUCAAUAAGCGGAGGA
rnacentral:misc_RNA from 1 species